UAGGGAAUCUUCGGCAAUGGACGGAAGUCUGACCGAGCAACGCCGCGUGAGUGAAGAAGGUUUUCGGAUCGUAAAGCUCUGUUGUUAGAGAAGAACGUUGGUAGGAGUGGAAAAUCUACCAAGUGACGGUAACUAACCAGAAAGGGACGGCUAACUACGUGCCAGCAGCCGCGGUAAUACGUAGGUCCCGAGCGUUGUCCGGAUUUAUUGGGCGUAAAGCGAGCGCAGGCGGUUCUUUAAGUCUGAAGUUAAAGGCAGUGGCUUAACCAUUGUACGCUUUGGAAACUGGAGUACUUGAGUGCAGAAGGGGAGAGUGGAAUUCCAUGUGUAGCAGUGAAAUGCGUAGAUAUAUGGAGGAACACCGGUGGCGAAAGCGGCUCUCUGGUCUGUAACUGACGCUGAGGCUCGAAAGCGUGGGGAGCAAACAGG
rnacentral:rRNA from 1 species